rnacentral:tRNA from 1 species
UCCCUGGAAGUCCAGCAGUUAGGACUCUGCACUUCCAAUGCAGGGGGCAGGGGUUGGAUCCCUGGUCAGGGAA